CAGAAGCCCACGCAGAUGUGCAAAACCUCACUACCCGCCAGGUUACAACUGGAGGGUUGCCAUGUGUGGGAAAUCCUGCAGGAUUGUUAUGCCAAGGUCGUGGAGUCCCCAGAGACCACCAGAGACCACCAGAAGUCCAACUCAUAUGCAAAAGCAAAGAGUCUUUAUUCAAGCUCAUGCUCAGACCCUCUGGUCUCUCCAGUGGACUGAAAGGUCCUGAGCAGCAUGUGGGACCCGAGGGAUCAAACUCAGCAUUAGCAGCAAGAAUGGCCACCGACCCAUUGUGCUGGCUCUAAAUGUAUCCUUUAUAGUCUGAGUUCUUUAGUCAGGGCAAUACCUUUGAAGUUCAGAUUCACUGCAGCAUCAGAAAACAAUUUAUUUUUAAAAUAAUGCUUAUCUUAUUUUUAUGUAUAUGGAUGUCUUACCUGCAUGCAUGUCUGUGCACCACACGUGUGCCAGGUGCCUGCAGAGGUCAGAAGAGCCUACAGUUGGUUAUGAGGUGCUAUGCGGGUGCUGGGAACUGAACCUGGGUUCUUUAGAAGAGCAGCUUGUAUUAAAAACAAUGACUUCAUGAA